CAGUAGCCGCGGUAAUACGUAGGUGGCAAGCGUUGUCCGGAAUUAUUGGGCGUAAAGCGCACGUAGGCGGCGACAUAAGUUAGAGGUGAAAUCCCAUCGGCUCAACCGUGGAACUGCCUCUAAUACUGUGUUGCUUGAGGGAGAACGGGGCAUUCGGAACUUCCGGUGGAGCGGUGAAAUGUGUUGAUAUCGGAAGGAACGCCGGUGGCGAAAGCGGAAUGCUGGGCCUCUUCUGACGCUGAGGUGCGAAAGCUAGGGUAGCGAACGGGAUUAGAUACCCCAGUAGUCCCUGUCUCUUAUA
rnacentral:rRNA from 1 species